CCUACGGGCGGCAGCAGUGGGGAAUAUUGGACAAUGGGCGAAAGCCUGAUCCAGCCAUGCCGCGUGUGUGAAGAAGGCCUUCGGGUUGUAAAGCACUUUCAGUGGGGAAGAAAGCCUUGGGGCGAAUACCCUCGAGGAAGGACAUCACCCACAGAAGAAGCACCGGCUAACUCCGUGCCAGCAGCCGCGGUAAUACGGAGGGUGCGAGCGGUAAUCGGAAUUACUGGGCGUAAAGCGCGCGUAGGCGGUCUGAUAAGCCGGUUGUGAAAGCCCCGGGCUCAACCUGGGAACGGCAUCCGGAACUGUCAGGCUAGAGUGCAGGAGAGGAAGGUAGAAUUCCCGGUGUAGCGGUGAAAUGCGUAGAGAUCGGGAGGAAUACCAGUGGCGAAGGCGGCCUUCUGGACUGACACUGACGCUGAGGUGCGAAAGCGUGGGUAGCAAACAGGAUUAGAUACCCGGGUAGUC
rnacentral:rRNA from 1 species